GCGGGCCGAUGGCCGGGGGCAGGCCGGCCUCCGUGGCGGGGGCGGAAGAGGACGCGUCAGGCAUCUGCCCAGGAUACUCCCGGCGGCGGGCGC
rnacentral:tRNA from 1 species